rnacentral:tRNA from 1 species
GGGCCCGUGGCGAAAUGGCAGACGCGGCGGACUUAAAAUCCGCUUCCCUUCGGGGAGUGUGGGUUCAAAUCCCACCGGGCCCA